rnacentral:rRNA from 1 species
AGUUGAUCCUGGCUCAGGAUGAACGCUGGCGGCAUGCCUAAGACAUGCAAGUCGAACGAAGGGACCCAAUGAGAUUUAUAGAAGUUUGGAGAGCUUGCUCAAAGAAUGGAAAUAAAUCAAUUUGGAUUAUCCCUUAGUGGCAAACGGGUGAGUAACACGUGGGUUACCUGCCUUCAAGAUGGGGAUAACAGUUGGAAACGAUUGCUAAUACCGAAUGUGAUCUACGGAUAAAAGAACUCCUUUAAAGUCUUCGUUAGAAGAGUGGCCCCGCGGGGCCUUUAACUAAGUUGGGGAGAGCACCGGCCCCCCCAAGGGGGCACGUUCCAUACCCCAAAUGGGGAGGUUUAUUCGGCCCCCAUUGGGGAUUGAAACCCGCGCCCAAAUCUCUUAGGGGGACACGCAGUUAGGAAUUUUUCGCCAAUGGGGGAAACCCUUAAACGAACAAUGCCGCGGUGAGUGAUGACGGUCCUUUGGGAUUGUAAAACUCUGUUGUUUGGAAAGAACUGUAAGAAGAGGAAAUGCUUCUUACUUGACGGUACCAUUCAAGAAAGCCACGGCUAACUACGUGCCAGCAGCCGCGGUAAUACGUAGGUGGCGAGCGUUAUCCGGAUUUAUUGGGCGUAAAGCGUCCGCAGCCGGUUUAUUAAGUCUAGAAUAAAAGCCUGGAGCUUAACUCCAGUUCGUUCUAGAAACUGAUAUACUUGAGUGUAGUAGAGGCAAAUGGAAUUUCUAGUGUAGCGGUAAAAUGCGUAGAUAUUAGAAGGAACACCAGUGGCGAAGGCGAUUUGCUAGGCUAUUACUGACGGUCAGGGACGAAAGCGUGGGGAGCAAAUAGGAUUAGAUACCCUAGUAGUCCACGCUGUAAACGAUGAGUACUAAGUGUCGGGUUACCGGUGCUGAAGUUAACACAUUAAGUACUCCGCCUGAGUAGUACGGUCGCAAGGCCGAAACUCAAAGGAAUUGACGGGCACCCGCACAAGCGGUGGAGCAUGCUGUUUAAUUCGACAAUACGCGAAGAACCUUACCUAGACUUGACAUCCCCGGCAAAGCUAUAGAAAUAUAGUGGAGGUUACCCGGGUGACAGAUGGUGCAUGGUUGUCGUCAGCUCGUGUCGUGAGAUGUUUGGUUAAGUCCAACAACGAGCGCAACCCUCGUCUUAAGUUACUAACAUUAAGUUGAGCACUCUUAAGAUACUGCCAGUGCAAGCUGGAGGAAGGUGAGGAUGACGUCAAAUCAUCAUGCCUCUUACGUCUAGGGCUACAGGCGUGCUACAAUGGCCGAUACAACGAGAAGCAAUACGGCGACGUAAAGCAAAACUCUAAAAGUCGGUCCCGGUUCGGAUUGGAGUCUGCAACUCGACUCCAUGAAGUUGGAAUCGCUAGUAAUCCCGAAUCAGAAUGUCGGGGUGAAUACGUUCCCGGGUGUUGCACACACCGCCCGUC